rnacentral:lncRNA from 1 species
UAUAUUUGGUAAUAUUUUAUGUGAAAAAAGUAAAGCAUUAUUAGACCAAUUAAUUAAAAAUAUAGACAGCACUAUUCCACAUCUACAUAACAUUUUUGAUUAUACAAUUAAUAAAAAUAAUUUCACUUGGGUAUUGUGGGAUGAUUUGAUUACUACUAAUAACAGUUAUUUACCCGAUGUUAAAAAAGUUUUUUUUUAUUCAUUUGAAAAAUAUAUGACUAAUAAAAAUGAUAUAAUGAUGAUGCCAAUGUUGGGUAGUAGUGGUUCUGGUGGUGGUUCUGGUGGUGGUUCUGGUGGUGCGUAUGGUGGUGGGUAUGGUGGUGGAUAUGGUGGUGGAUAUGGUGCAGGUAAUGAUACUUCAUUUGCUACAAAAUAUGCCAGCACAUACGCAACUGAAACCAUAAACCAAGACUCCAAUUUUGUUAAAAGCAGCUUGCUUAGUACAUCACAAUUUAGUAAAGCUUUUCAAAAAUAUACCAUUAAUUAUAACAAUUUAUUUAGCUCAACAAACACUAAUAGUAAUAAAGGUACAAUGAAUUCGUAUCAAACAAAUAAUUCGAAUUUUAUGUCUUCCCAGUUUAAUACUACUUCCGAUGAAGUGGUCAGAUUAAAUAGUGAUAAUAAUAUAUACCGUAAUGAUAUAUCUCAAAAGAAUUUAUAUUCAAUGGAUCAUAAUUAUAGCGAUAGUAGUGGUACAAGUAUUGGUGGUAGUACAUUGUCUAAUUUAUAUAGUGACCAAAUGGGUGGUAGCAAAAAUGAUAUGUUUGGCGGUUAUCAAAAUUUUGCGAAUGAUUCAAAAUUUACUGACCUUAUUUGGUUUGGCAUGAAUAACAAGUAUAAUGCUGGUAACACAACUAAACCUGAACUUUCUGUUAGCAUUAGUGAUAAUAAUAACUAUAGCACAUUUUAUCAAGGUCACUAUGAGAAUAAUAAUAAUAAUAAUAAUAAUAAUAAUAAUACACGUGACAUAACAAAAGAGACUAGUAACAACCAGUUGCAAAACCCAAAUAACCCUCUUAAACCAAAUAACCCAUACACUCCACAUAGCAAUAAUAACAAAAUGAACUUAAUCGAAAGCGUGAAAAACCUUUCUUUAAAUAAUAUGUAUGGGAAAGAAAAAAACAAAAUAACAAAUAUAUCCGACGAUGAUAGAAUAAAAGAAAAAGAAGAAAAAUAUUUUCCCAAUAAAUUUGAUAGUAAUAUAUAUAUAGAAAAUGUAGAAUCUUUACGAAAAAAAUAUAUGAUUAACAUUUUAAUAUAUAAUAAAAAAAAUAUAUUAUUAUUUGGCAGUAAAUAUAGUGG